GCCCGGUGACCUGUCAGAGAUGCCAAGCCCAGGGUGGCACUGGGUUGGGUGGGGACGGAUGGUGUCUUGGCAGCAAAGGAUGGGUAAUUUGCAAAUGAACAUGGAUAGAAGAGCAGCAAAGCACCAAAAGAACAAGGUCUCUUACCCAGGACACAGUCCCUUCCACACUUUACCAGCCCCAGGGUCUGAGCCCGACGCUGCCUCUUCCGGUCCUGUGCCUGUGGGUGCCCAC
rnacentral:lncRNA from 1 species